AAGUCGUAACAAGGUUUCCGUAGGUGAACCUGCGGAAGGAUCAUUAAUGAAAUGAAUGUUGAGAAGGGUUGUAGCUGGCCUUUCAAGGCAUGUGCACACCUUGAUCACACAUCCACCUCUCACACUUGUGCACUAUGUGUAGCUUGGGAUGAUUACGAUGUUGGAAACGAUGUCGAAAGCCCUAGCUAUGAAUUUUUAUACACCCACAUACAAAGUUAUAGAAUGAAUAAUGUUAUAGCGUGUAAUAGCGCGAAUAUAUACAACUUUCAGCAACGGAUCUCUUGGCUCUCGCAUCGAUGAAGAACGCAGCGAAAUGCGAUAAGUAAUGUGAAUUGCAGAAUUCAGUGAAUCAUCGAAUCUUUGAACGCACCUUGCGCUCCUUGGUAUUCCGAGGAGCAUGCCUGUUUGAGUGUCAUGAAAUUCUCAACUACCUUUUAGCAUUUUAUGUUAAGGUGAAGUUGGAGUUGGAGGAUAAUUGCUGGCGCAACUUGGGUUGCUUGUUGNCUCCUCUUGAAUGGAUGAGCUUUUCUGAUAGAUCAUGGCUUAGUAACACUAAUGUGAUAANUAUCUACGUUAGAUGUGAAAGUUGUGAGUAGAGUGACUUCAAUUAUGGAGGAGCUCCUAUAGAAAAGGUGUAUCUUAGGGAUAAAACCCUUGACUUUGACAAAUCUGACCUCAAAUCAGGUAGGACUACCCGCUGAACUUAAGCAUAUCAAUAAGCGGAGGAAAGAANCUAACAAGGAUUCCCCUAGUAACUGCGAGUGAAGCGGGAAAAGCUCAAAUUUAAANUCUGNCAUGCCUUUGGCUGUNCGAGUUGUAGUCUGGAGAAGUGUUUUCCGUGCUGGACCGUGUACAAGUCCCUUGGAAUAGGGCAUCAUAGAGGGUGAGAAUCCCGUCUUUGACAUGGACUACCAGUACUUUGUGAUGCGCUCUCAAAGAGUCGAGUUGUUUGGGAAUGCAGCUCAAAAUGGGUGGUAAAUUCCAUCUAAAGCUAAAUAUAGGCGAGAGACCGAUAGCGAACAAGUACCGUGAGGGAAAGAUGAAAAGCACUUUGGAAAGAGAGUUAAACAGUACGUGAAAUUGCUGAAAGGGAAACGCUUGAAGUCAGUCGUGUCUGCCAGGACUCAGCCUUGCUUUUGCUUGGUGCACUUUCUGGUUUGACAGGCCAGCAUCGAUUUUGACUGUUGGAAAAAGGUUAAGGGAAUGUGGCACCUUCGGGUGUGUUAUAACCCUUUAUCGCAUACAACAAUUGGAAUCGAGGAUCGCAGCACGCCUUUAUGGCCGGGGUUUUACCCACGUACGUGCUUAGGAUGCUGGCAUAAUGGCUUUAAGCGACC
rnacentral:rRNA from 1 species